AGUCAGCCUUCUGUCUCCAGGCCUGUGGACUGGCUCUUCCCUCUUCCUGGGCACUCUUGCCCUGGCACCCCUCCAGCUGGGGCUCAAAUGUCACCACCUGGGUGAGGUCUGCCCCGCCUCCCCAGCCGGAGGCACUGCUGGCUCUUCCUCUCUUUCUCCAUCACAGUUAUCACGCCAACAUACGAUGGGAAGAACUUGUCUGUCUGGACAGGGAUCUCUGGGUGUUCUGUGCACAGCGGGUGGCACAGGGUGGGCUCUCAAUAAAUCCUGAGUGACUGAAUGAACGGAAAUGUCAGCCAGCAGCAUCAGCGGCAGCCUGGGGCUCCAGUUCCCUCUUCCCAUCACCAAACGGCCCUGGGAAACAUCAAGGCCCAGUGACACCUGCACCCUCCCCUCCAGAUCUCCCCGCAGCUCCUAGUCUCCCAUGGGGGACGCCCAAGGCCCAGUCCUUCUCUCCCUUCUCCUCUCACUGUGGCCAAGGCAGAACCCACCCACCCCUGCUGCUUUCUCCCGGGUGGACAGAUUCGGGAAACAGGACCUCCUACCUCCUGCCUCUGGAGCUGCCUGGGGCUCCUUGGGCCACCCCCAAAGAUCAUCCUAAAAGACCAUCCCCAAAGACUGGCCUCUCGUGGUGGCUUGGGCUGCAGUCCUGGUUCUGCUUCUUAUUCCUGAAACUGCCUUUGCAAAAACUAUAACUGAUACAGGCCAGGCGCAGUGGCUCACGCCUGUAAUCCCAGCACUUUGGGAGGCCGAGGCGGAAGGACCACCUGAGGUCAGGAGUUCGAGACCAGCCUGACCAACAUAGUGAAACCCCAUCUCUACCAAAAAUACAAAAAUUAGCCGGGUGUGAUGACGGGCGCCUGUAGUCCCAGCUACUUGGGAUGCUGAGGCAGGAGAAUCGCUUGAACCCGAGAGGCAGCUGUUGCAGUGAGCCAAGAUCAUGCCACUAUACUCCAGCCUGGGCAACAGAGCGAGACU
rnacentral:lncRNA from 1 species